UUGACAAGUUCUUUUUUCUGCACAACACUUUUUAUGAAACGGUUAAUUAAUCAUGUUUUAUAUACCAUUUACUAAAUAACCAUAUGAACAAUAUGAUAUUGUUAAAUAAAACUAGUAUGUAAUAUAUUAGUAAUAUAUUGGUAUUUUUAUUUAUCCCAUGAAACCUUUUCUAGGAUAUAUAUUCUAAGAUAACUUGUUUUCAUGAAACUUUUAUUAAACAGACAUCAAAAUAUCUGUUCCAUGAGAACACUUCUCAAAGAAGUUCCUUUAAAGAAAAGUAACAUUUCUUUCCGCAAAAAUUCCACGGGAACAGAUAUUUUCUGAACAAACAUAUUUUCGAAACGAAACGAAACAUGUAAGCAAAAACAUAUUAAACAACCGAAAGAUAAUAAUUUAUUUUAAUGCCUAUCCAUUAUUCAUUUAUCAAUGGAAACCAAUGGAAGAAUAAAAAUAAAUAAUAAUAAAUAUAAGAAUAACGUUGAAAGUAACGUAUAAGGAUAAGUAUUAAAAAUAUUGCUAAAUUUGCAAAACAAAAUUAUUUUACGAUUAUACAUCUAGAAACGUAAUACAGGCCAAUACAAACAUAUCCGACUGAUACAGUAUCUGUUAUUAAAUAAAAUUGAUAAAAGAUGAUCAUUUAAUUCGGUUAAGAUAUUGAUAAAAAUAUUCAUCGUUGCAGAAAUAACCAAACGUAAAACACGUUGAAAAACAUGAAAAUAAAUGGGAAAAUAAGAGAAUACGAACAAUUUCGGGAGUCUGUUAUCAGUGUCAGCACGCUAUUUUAACAAAUGCUGGUCCACGUUAAGGCGGUCAUAAAUGCGUGUACUGGCCAAAAGUCGAAGAUUAAUUGGAAACUCGAAUUUGAUCGCCAAAUGUUGAUAAAGAAAAGCGGGGAGCGGUUUAUGAUUCCAGAAAAGAGCGACAAAUGGAUUCGUGCCAGAAAGCUGUGUAGCCUGACCCGCCGAGAGAGUCAAAAUGGAAACAGGCAAAAAUCCAAACUUUCAAAAUUACGUCAAGAAUUAUUAACGUCUAUGCGUUGUCGUCGAAUUCCCAAGAAGUGGAAGCAGAAGUAGCAUGGUUUUCAAAAAGAAGCUUGUCAAAACUGUGAAUGGAACGUACAUGAAAAGUGAAAAAUCUUUUCGAAAUAAGAUGUACAAACAAAAUUGCUCGUUUCUUGAAGCACACGUUAAAUAAAUGAAACUAUGAAACUUGACAACGAAUACAAAGAUUACGAAAAAGUGGCCAUACCAUACAAGAAAUAAAAACGUAUAGAGGAGCAAGGUGCGAGACGAUAAUAAAUCUAACAAGUAGAAGAAUAUGGUAUUUUAUUAAAAUCCUUACAUUAAUGAGAACGUGGAGUUAAAUUCUCAUAAUGCAAGCACAUUUUGAAAAACCUCAUGGUCUAUUUAACUUGUAUUCAUUUAUAAAUCAUAUAUUUACAAUAAACAAUAUGUGAUUAAUCCUUAUAUUAUAUAUAACCUUCUUUUUUUUGUAUUACAAAUCUCUCACUCGCGUUCGCUUGUCCUAUGUUAGUAUCCUUCAAAUUCCUUCGAUGAAUAUUGCAAUAUCUUUAGAGUGCGACAACGUACCGUGUAUAUCAACUUAAGACCAACGCUUCAAUCCUAUAUGUAUAAUUUUCACGGUUCGCCUAGGACUUAGAAUAUCAUAAUUCAUUUAAAUCGCUUCUUAAUGCAUGAUGCUUUUAGUUAAUCGUUUGAUACUUGAACGUUGUCACAUAGGUCGACGAAUCUAAACGGCGUAUUUGAGAACACACAGAGGAACAAUCCACUUGGACAAUACUUUACGACGCUAUAGCGCAGAUUUGAUAACAUCUCCUCGUAGGAAACAGGAAAAUUUGAUUCUCAGUAAUCGUAAAAUUUGUAAC